rnacentral:rRNA from 1 species
UGGGGGAUAUUGCACAAUGGGCGCAAGCCUGAUGCAGCGACGCCGCGUGGGGGAUGAAGGCCUUCGGGUUGUAAACUUCUUUUGCUCUGAACAAGGCGCACCAUGGGGUGUGUUGAGUGUAGGGGUUGAUUAGCGCCGGCUAACUACGUGCCAGCAGCCGCGGUAAUACGUAGGGCGCGAGCGUUGUCCGGAAUUAUUGGGCGUAAAGGGCUUGUAGGUGGCUGGUUGCGUCUGUCGUGAAAGCUCAUGGCUUAACUGUGGGUUUGCGGUGGGUACGGGCUGGCUUGAGUGCAGUAGGGGAGGCUGGAAUUCCUGGUGUAGCGGUGGAAUGCGCAGAUAUCAGGAGGAAUACCGGUGGCGAAGGCGGGUAUCUGGGCUGUUACUGACACUGAGGAGCGAAAGCAUGGGGAGCGAACAGG